AAACUUAAGAAAUGAACGAAGCUCACUAAUAAACACGUUUGAAAGGAGGCACUGGUUUAACUUCAUUCUCAUCCAUAGUGGUUCUGGUGACAGCGCGAUACUUCAAGGUGACAGGGUCGCCUGUUUUGUGUUGCCAAGUCAAUGUAUGCUUGAUCCAAUUCUUGUCAUCACGCUCAGGAUAGUCUUCACGAGCAUGGGCACCGCGAGAUUCUUUGCGGUUGAGAGCUGCAUUAGCAGUUUGCACAGCACAAGUUAAAAGGUUACGUAAUUCAAGGGCUUCAACAAGAUCGGUGUUCCAGAUUAAACCACGGUCCCUGAUUCCAAUAUCCUUGUAAGUGCCGUCAACACGAGCAAUGUUCUUAACACCUUCUUGAAGAGUUUCUUCCAUACGGAAAACUGAGACAUCACGUUGCAUCGUCUUUUGCAUAUCCAAACGAAUUUCACUGGUAUGUUUAGGGCCUUGCGAAGUGCGAAUUUGGUCCAAAAAUUUUAGAGAAUCCAAUCCGGCAUCAGCUGCAAGCGGUUUAUGAGGGGUAUUGGGUUCAAGCGUAUCCUUAAUAUGUAAAGCACAGGCACGUCCAAAAACAACAAUGUCCAGAAGAGAGUUGGCACCAAGACGGUUACCUCCAUGGACAGAUACACAAGCAGCUUCACCAGCAGCAUACAAUCCAGGAACAAUCUUAUCCUUCCCAUUUUCGUCAAUAGUGAGGACUUCACCGGUGAAACGGGUAGGAAUACCACCCAUAUUGUAGUGAACUGUAGGUAAAACGGGGAUAGGCUCUUUAGUAACAUCUACACCAGCAAAGAUAGCAGCAGUUUCGGAAAUGCCAGGAAGACGCUCUUUCAAAAUUUCAGCGGGGAGGUGAGAAAGCUGCAAAUAACAAUGAUCCUUUUCAGGGCCAACACCACGGCCUUCACGAAUUUCAACAGUCAUAGCACGAGAAACGACAUCACGAGAAGCCAAAUCCUUAGCGGUAGGAGCAUAGCGUUCCAUAAAACGCUCACCCUUGCUGUUCAAAAGAUAACCACCUUCACCACGGCAACCUUCAGUAAUUAAACAACCAGCACCAUAGAUACCAGUAGGGUGAAAUUGAACAAACUCGAGAUCUUGUAGAGGAAGUCCAGCACGAGAAACCAUGGCAUUACCAUCACCAGUACAGGUAUGAGCUGAGGUGCAAGAGAAAUAGGCACGUCCAUAACCACCAGUAGCCAAAAUAGUCUUGUGAGCACGGAAUCUGUGAAUACUACCGUCUUCCAAAUUCAUAGCAAUGACACCACGACAUUCACCACCUUCCAU